GUGAAUCAUCGAAUCUUUGAACGCACAUUGCGCCCGCUAGUAUUCUAGCGGGCAUGCCUGUUCGAGCGUCAUUUCAACCCUCAAGCACUGCUUGGUGUUGGGGCCCUACAGCUUCUGUAGGCCCUGAAAACUAGUGGCGGGCUCGCUAUAACUCCGAGCGUAGUAGUAACAUCUCGCUUAGGACGUGAUGGCGGGAUCCGGCCGUUAAACCCCCCAAUUUUCUGAAUGUUGACCUCGGAUCAGGUAGGAAUACCCGCUGAACUUAAGCAUAUCAAUAAGCGGAGGA
rnacentral:misc_RNA from 1 species